rnacentral:rRNA from 1 species
GAUGAACGCUGGCGGCGUGCCUAAUACAUGCAAGUCGAGCGAACAGACGAGGAGCUUGCUCCUCUGACGUUAGCGGCGGACGGGUGAGUAACACGUGGAUAACCUACCUAUAAGACUGGGAUAACUUCGGGAAACCGGAGCUAAUACCGGAUAAUAUAUUGAACCGCAUGGUUCAAUAGUGAAAGACGGUUUUGCUGUCACUUAUAGAUGGAUCCGCGCCGCAUUAGCUAGUUGGUAAGGUAACGGCUUACCAAGGCAACGAUGCGUAGCCGACCUGAGAGGGGGGUGCGGCACAAGUGAAGGGACACACGGAACAGGCUACAACGGGAGGCAGCAGCGCGGGAUGAGCGAUAAUGGGCGUAAGUAUGAAAAAGCAACGACGAGGGAAAGAAGAAAGUCGUCGGAACGUAAAAAUCUGUUGAUGGGGCAGAAAAAAAAUGCAAGUGAAAAUGACCGGCCUGACGGUACUUAAUCAAAAAGCAACCGCUAACUACGU